rnacentral:rRNA from 1 species
GUCGAACGAAGUAGCAAUACUUAGUGGCGAACGGGUGAGUAUAAUGUGGGUAUCUGCCUUUUGGUUUGGAAUAACACGGGGAAACUUGUGCUAAUACCGGAUAAGCCUUCACAGGGAAAGUUUUAACGCCGAAAGAUGAGCCCGCACUUGAUUAGCUAGUUGGUAAGGUAAAAGCUUACCAAGGCUACGAUCAAUAGCUGAUCUGAGAGGAUGAUCAGCCACAUUGGGACUGAGACACGGCCCAAACUCCUACGGGAGGCAGCAGUGGGGAAUCUUGCACAAUGGGGGAAACCCUGAUGCAGCGAUGCCGCGUGAGUGAAGAAGGCCUUUGGGUUGUAAAGCUCUUUCGUCGGGGAAGAAAAUGACUGUACCCGAAUAAGAAGGUCCGGCUAACUUCGUGCCAGCAGCCGCGGUAAUACGAAGGGACCUAGCGUAGUUCGGAAUUACUGGGCUUAAAGAGCUCGUAGGUGGUUAGAAAAGUUGGUGGUGAAAUCCCAAGGCUUAACCUUGGAACUGCCAUCAAAACUUUUUAACUAGAGUGUGAUAGAGGAAAGUGGAAUUUCUAGUGUAGAGGUGAAAUUCGUAGAUAUUAGAAAGAACACCAAUUGCGAAGGCAACUUUCUGGAUCACUACUGACACUGAGGAGCGAAAGCAUGGGUAGCGAAGAGGAUUAGAUACCCUCGUAGUCCAUGCUGUAAACGAUGUGUGUU